rnacentral:rRNA from 1 species
AUUGAACGCUGGCGGCAGGCUUAACACAUGCAAGUCGAGCGGAGAGAAGUAGCUUGCUACUGAUCUUAGCGGCGGACGGGUGAGUAAUGCUUAGGAAUCUGCCUAUUAGUGGGGGACAACAUUUCGAAAGGAAUGCUAAUACCGCAUACGUCCUACGGGAGAAAGCAGGGGAUCUUCGGCCCUUGCGCUAAUAGAUGAGCCUAAGUCGGCUUAGCUAGUUGGUGGGGUAAAGGCCUACCAAGGCGACGAUCUGUAGCGGGUCUGAGAGGAUGAUCCGCCACACUGGGACGGAGACACGGCCCAGACUCCUACGGGAGGCAGCAGUGGGGAAUAUUGGACAAUGGGCGGAAGCCUGAUCCAGCCAUGCCGCGUGUGUGAAGAAGGCCUUAUGGUUGUAAAGCACUUUAAGCGAGGAGGAGGCUACUUUAGUUAAUACCUAGAGAUAGUGGACGUUACUCGCAGAAUAAGCACCGGCUAACUCUGUGCCAGCCGCCGCCGUAAUAC